rnacentral:rRNA from 1 species
ACGGAAGGCAGCAGUGGGGAAUAUUGGGCAAUGGGCGAAAGCCUGACCCAGCAACGCCGCGUGAAGGAAGAAGGCCUUCGGGUUGUAAACUUCUUUUAUCAGGGACGAAGAACGUGACGGUACCUGAUGAAUAAGCCACGGCUAACUACGUGCCAGCAGCCGCGGUAAUACGUAGGUGGCAAGCGUUAUCCGGAUUUACUGGGUGUAAAGGGCGCGUAGGCGGGGAUGCAAGUCAGGUGUGAAAUCUAUGGGCUUAACCCAUAAACUGCAUUUGAAACUGUAUCUCUUGAGUGUCGGAGAGGUAGAUGGAAUUCCUAGUGUAGCGGUGAAAUGCGUAGAUAUUAGGAGGAACACCAGUGGCGAAGGCGAUCUACUGGACGAUAACUGACGCUGAGGCGCGAAAGCGUGGGGAGCA